rnacentral:rRNA from 1 species
AUGGUCCUCGUCGUCGACGCCGCCGUCGGCGCCCUCGCCCCCGGGCGCGCCGCCGGACCUCUGGUACACGGCCGACACGAUGGGGUUGCACACGGCCUCCACCUCCUUGAGCUUCUCCUCGUAGUCCUCCUUCUCGGCCGUCUGGUUCUCGUCCAGCCACUCGAGCGCCUCCUUGAGGGCCUCCUCCACCUUCUCCUUCUCCUCGCUCUCCAGCUUGUCCGCCAGCUUGUCCUUGUCGCCGACGGUGUUCUUCAUGUUGUAGACAUACGUCUCCAGCUGGUUCCGGGCAUCGAUGCGCUCCUUCACCUUCUUGUCCUCCUCGGCAAACUCCUCCGCCUCCUUGACCAUCCGGUCGAUCUCCUCCUGGCUCAGGCGCCCUUUCUCGUUCGUGAUGGUGAUCUUCUCCGACUUGCCUGUGCCCUUGUCCUCCGCCUUCACGUUCAGGAUACCGUUGGCGUCAACCUCGAAGGUGACUUCGAUCUGAGGAGUGCCCCUGAAAGUUGA